rnacentral:rRNA from 1 species
CCUACGGGUGGCAGCAGUCGAGAAUCAUUCACAAUGGGGGAAACCCUGAUGGUGCGACGCCGCGUGGGUGAAUGAAUAUCUUCGGAUUGUAAACCCCAGUCAUGUGGGAGCAAAUUAAAAAGCUAGUACCACAAGCGGAAGCGACGUCUAACUCUGUGCCAGCAGCCGCGGUAAUACGGAGGGCUCAAGCGUUGUUCGGAUGCACUGGGCGUAAAGGGUGCGGAGGCUGUUUCGUAAGUCGGGUGUGAAAGGCGCGGGCUCAACCCGCGGACGGCAAAUGAUACUGCGAGGCUAGAGUAAUGGAGGGGGAACCGGAAUUCUCGGUGUAGCAGUGAAAUGCGUAGAUA